CCCCUCCAGAUUUUUAUCUUAACAUUUCCCUCCCCCUAAUUUUCCUCCUCAAUUUUCCCUUCCCUUUUCCCCUUUCCCUUUUUGCCCAAAAUUUCCCCUUUUUCCCCCAAAAUUUUUGACCCCUCCUAAAAAAAAUAAAUUUCUGCCCCCCCCCCCCAGGGCCGUGGGCUGCAUUUUUGGGGAGCUGCUGAACCUUUCGCCCCUGUUCCCGGGGGAGAACGACAUCGAGCAGCUCUGCUGCGUGCUGCGCGCCCUGGGCACCCCCAGUCCCAGCGUCUGGCCGGUACUGGGAGCACUGGGAGGGACUGGGAGGGCGCUGGGAGGGCGCUGGGAGGGACUGGGGUAAACUGGGAGGGCACUGGGAGGAACUGGGUGGGCACUGGGAGCGCUGCAGUGGGGGGAAAAGGGGAUUUGGGGGCGCUGGGGGGCUGCUGGGGGUGCAGUGGGAGGUACUGGGUUGUACUGGGAGGGACUGGGAGGGUUGUAGAGGGGUACUGGGGCAUACUGGGAUGUACUGGGAGAUAGCAAGGGGGCAUUGGGGGAUACUGGGACAUACUGGUGGGGCCAUUAGGACAUACUGGGACAUACUGGGAUGUACUGGGACAUGUUACUCUAUAGGGAAGGAAGCAUUUGAGCAUACUGGGAGCCACAUGGGUCCUGUUAGGACAUACUGGGACAUACUGGGCUAUACUGGGAGGUAGCAGUGGAGCUGUAGGGGGGCACUGGUACAUACUGGGAUGUACUGGGACAUGUUAGUCUAUAGGAAAGGAAGCUCGUGAGCAUACUGGGAGCCACAUGGGUCCUUUUAGGACGUACUGGGACAUACUGGGAUGUACUGGGAUGUAUUAAUAUAUAGUGAGGGAAACACUUGAGCAUACUGGGAGCCACGCGGGUCUUGUUAGGAUGUACUGGGACAUACUGGAAUGUACUGGGACAUAUCAGUCUAUAGGGAAGGAAGCAUUUAAGCAUACUGGGAGCCACCCAGCUCCCAUUAGGCCAUACUGGUUCUUACUGGGACAUACUGGAAAACCCCCCAGGCCCCCUGUGGGACACCGGGGGGGCCUCCCACCGGUCUGGGGGGGGUC
rnacentral:lncRNA from 1 species